CUUGCUGCUUGGUGUUGGAUUUCCGCACUCCCAAUCAUGUGGAUCUGAGGCCUGCCUUAGGAACUUGUUGCUGGGUCUGGAUUGACCCUACAGGCCCUUCUUUUCUCUGAAAUGUGGGUUGGGGGAAUCCAGCAAUUGCAGGCUUUACUGGGUGGGUUCUCAUGUGCCUCUGGUUGGAAGGGGGAUGCGGGUCAUGGGGCAGUUGGGACACCAUGCAGGAGUGGCAUUCUUCCUUACUCUCCAGUGAACGGUGACACGAUAUCCCAUUAUACAAUGCUGUCAACUUUGAAAUAGCUAUUCGCAUAUAUGUUGUUGUAGAAAACUGUUCAUUGCAGUUGUACACAUUUUUUUUUAUGGUUUUUUUUCAGCAGGUCUAU